rnacentral:rRNA from 1 species
AACGCUAGCUACAGGCUUAACACAUGCAAGUCGAGGGGCAUCAGUUUGGUUUGCUUGCAAACCAAAGCUGGCGACCGGCGCACGGGUGAGUAACACGUAUCCAACCUGCCUCAUACUCGGGGAUAGCCUUUCGAAAGAAAGAUUAAUAUCCGAUAGCAUAUAUUUCCCGCAUGGGUUUUAUAUUAAAGAAAUUCGGUAUGAGAUGGGGAUGCGUUCCAUUAGUUUGUUGGGGGGGUAACGGCCCACCAAGACUACGAUGGAUAGGGGUUCUGAGAGGAAGGUCCCCCACAUUGGAACUGAGACACGGUCCAAACUCCUACGGGAGGCAGCAGUGAGGAAUAUUGGUCAAUGGACGCGAGUCUGAACCAGCCAAGUAGCGUGAAGGAUGACUGCCCUAUGGGUUGUAAACUUCUUUUAUAUGGGAAUAAAGUUGUCCACGUGUGGAUUUUUGUAUGUACCAUAUGAAUAAGGAUCGGCUAACUCCGUGCCAGCAGCCGCGGUAAUACGGAGGAUCCGAGCGUUAUCCGGAUUUAUUGGGUUUAAAGGGAGCGUAGGCGGAUUGUUAAGUCAGUUGUGAAAGUUUGCGGCUCAACCGUAAAAUUGCAGUUGAUACUGGCAGUCUUGAGUGCAGUAGAGGUGGGCGGAAUUCGUGGUGUAGCGGUGAAAUGCUUAGAUAUCACGAAGAACUCCGAUUG